rnacentral:rRNA from 1 species
GACGAACGCUGGCGGCGUGCUUAACACAUGCAAGUCGAACGGAAAGGCCCUGCUUUGGUGGGGUGCUCGAGGGGCGAACGGGUGAGUAACACGUGAGUAACCUGCCCCUGACUGUGGGAUAACUUCAGGAAACUGGGGCUAAUACCGGAUAGGAGCUCCUGCCGCAUGGUGGGGGUGGGAAAGUUUCGGCGGUUGGGGAUGGACUCGCGGCUUAUCAGCUUGUUGGUGGGGUAGUGGCUUACCAAGGCUUUGACGGGUAGCCGGCCUGAGAGGGUGACCGGCCACAUUGGGACUGAGAUACGGCCCAGACUCCUACGGGAGGCAGCAGUGGGGAAUAUUGCACAAUGGGCGGAAGCCUGAUGCAGCAACGCCGCGUGCGGGAUGACGGCCUUCGGGUUGUAAACCGCUUUCGCCUGUGACGAAGCGUGAGUGACGGUAAUGGGUAAAGAAGCACCGGCUAACUACGUG